UGCGUGGAAACAGAGCGACUCGCAUCUUUGUGCUGCAACUUUAUUCCUCCCCACAGAAGUAAGAAAGCAAAGAAAGCAUCGGAAGGGAUUCUAGAGCUGUGGGACCAGAUCCACCACCUUUGAGAGUCAACCCUCAUUUACAGCUGGGCUGCUACUGUCAGACCGGGUUGGAGGACAAUCAAGUCCAACUGCUGCUGCCACUGCUGGUGUGUUUUGUGUGGUGUGGACUUUCUCACGUUGCGGUGGACC